UACAGAGGGCUCUAGCGUUGUUCGGAUUCAUUGGGCGUAAAGGGUGCGUAGGCGGCGCGGUAAGUCGGGUGUGAAAUCUCGGAGCUUAACUCCGAAACUGCAUUCGAUACUGCCGUGCUUGAGGACUGGAGAGGAGACUGGAAUUUACGGUGUAGCGGUGAAAUGCGUAGAUAUCGUAAGGAAGACCAGUGGCGAAGGCGGGUCUCUGGACAGUUCCUGACGCUGAGGCGCGAAGGUCAGGGGAGCAAACGGG
rnacentral:rRNA from 1 species